CCUACGGGGGGCUGCAGUGGGGAAUAUUGCGCAAUGGGCGAAAGCCUGACGCAGCGACGCCGCGUGAGGGAUGAAGGUCUUCGGAUCGUAAACCUCUGUCAGCAGGGAAGAACGGUCACUGUGCUAAUCAGCAGUGAAUUGACGGUACCUGCAAAGGAAGCCCCGGCUAACUACGUGCCAGCAGCCGCGGUAAUACGUAGGGGGCAAGCGUUAUCCGGAUUUACUGGGUGUAAAGGGAGCGUAGACGGCAAGGCAAGUCUGGAGUGAAAGCCCGUGGCCCAACCACGGGACUGCUUUGGAAACUGUGUGGCUGGAGUGCAGGAGGGGUAAGCGGAAUUCCUAGUGUAGCGGUGAAAUGCGUAGAUAUUAGGAGGAACACCGGUGGCGAAGGCGGCUUACUGGACUGUAACUGACGUUGAGGCUCGAAGGCGUGGGGAGCAAACAGGAUUAGAUACCCCUGUAGUC
rnacentral:rRNA from 1 species